rnacentral:rRNA from 1 species
ACUCCUACGGGAGGCAUCAGUGGGGAAUAUUGCACAAUGGACGAAAGUCUGAUGCAGCAACGCCGCGUGGAGGAUGACACAUUUCGGUGCGUAAACUCCUUUUAUAUAAGAAGAUAAUGACGGUAUUAUAUGAAUAAGCACCGGCUAACUCCGUGCCAGCAGCCGCGGUAAUAC